UACGUAGGGCGCAAGCGUUAUUCGGAAUUAUUGGGCGUAAAGAGCUCGUAGGCGGUUUGUCGCGUCUGCCGUGAAAGUCCGGGGCUCAACUCCGGAUCUGCGGUGGGUACGGGCAGACUAGAGUGAUGUAGGGGAGACUGGAAUUCCUGGUGUAGCGGUGAAAUGCGCAGAUAUCAGGAGGAACACCGAUGGCGAAGGCAGGUCUCUGGGCAUUAACUGACGCUGAGGAGCGAAAGCAUGGGGAGCGAACAGG
rnacentral:rRNA from 1 species